rnacentral:tRNA from 1 species
UGGGGUAUAGCCAAGCGGUAAGGCAUCAGACUUUGACUCUGACAUCCCCCUGGUUCGAAUCCAGGUACCCCAGCCA